rnacentral:rRNA from 1 species
UGCAUGGCUGUCGUCAGCUCGUGUCGUGAGAUGUUGGGUUAAGUCCCGCAACGAGCGCAACCCUUGUCUUCUGUUGCCAUCGGGUUAUGCCGGGCACUCUGAAGAGACUGCCGGUGACAAACCGGAGGAAGGUGGGGAUGACGUCAAGUCAGCAUGGCCUUUAUGUCUGGGGCCACACACGUGCUACAAUGGCCGGUACAAACCGUCGCGAUCUCGCGAGAGGGAGCUAAUCGGAGAAAGCCGGUCUCAGUUCGGAUUGUAGGCUGCAACUCGCCUGCAUGAAGUUGGAAUCGCUAGUAAUCGCGGAUCAGCACGCCGCGGUGAAUACGUUCCCGGGCCUUGUACACACCGCCCGUCACAUCACGAAAGUGGGUUGUACUAGAAAUCGUCAAGCCAACCGCCAAGGAGGCAGACGCUCACGGUAUGAUCCAUGAUUGGGGUG